GGGAAGCUUCUCUAGGAAUGACUGCUUGUUGCUGUAUUUUUCAUCUCAAGGUCAAACUUCAAAGUAGGACCUGCUUUCAACAGAUGUAUUUAUUGCCCAUGGGUGUGACCAGGCAUGGUGGAAGCCAAAAGAGAGAUUUCUACAGGAGACCAGAGGGGAAAUCAAUAUCCCAGCUGAGGCUGGAUGGCCUCAGAAUCGGUUUUGCAUGGACCUUAAGUGCCUUAUAUGAGGCCCUGAGAAAGCAAGACCACCAGUCCAUUGAUACAGUGUGGCUUGUUCCUUUUUCUUUCUGAGUUCAAUUUGGGAUUAUUACUACCAGGCCAUUUGCACUUUAAACGCAGCUUCCCAAGUUCCAUCACUUACUUAGGACACAGC
rnacentral:lncRNA from 14 species